CCCAGGAAUCUGCUCCCCAUCUGUCUCCACCACUCCCUAAAGCUCCUCAUGCACGGGAUCUGUCCCUUCAUCAUUUUCAUCCCGUUGCUGGGAUCGCCCUGACGUGAGAAGGAGUUUCUUGAAGACUGCAGAGGGACAGCUCUCUGUCUGGCGUUUCAGUCAGGAUGGCCAGCCUGGAGAAAAGCGAGCUAUGAUUGCUUGGACAGUGGGUCAGCCUCCAGCCUGGCAAACUCCACUUGCCUCUGUGGUCCAACCUGGCCCCUGGUGGCUCUGGGGCCCCGGGCUGGUGGGUAGGAGAAGGACCAGGAAGCCUGGCAUCCCGCUGCAGCCUGAGAAGUGACCACUGCUGCUCAGGUCCAUGGGAAGGCAGAAAAAAAUGGAUCCCACGUGAAGGAAAAUUGAAGCGUGCCCAAAAGUUCAUCAGGACUUUCCUGUCUUCCCUCUCUGGGUUCCCAGCCGGCAAAAGUUGCAAGAACAUGUCUCCUUGUUUAAGCAAGGUCAUUGGCCCCAUGCCGGGAGCACCCAAACACAGUGAGGAGAAGACCAGCUGACAGUUGUGAAACAGACUGGGCCCUCCUAGGAGAAAUGUUGAUAGUUUAUAAUUUCACUCUCACUAGUCAUAAUUAUUUUAUUUUACGGAAGUUUAGUUGAUUUACAAUGUUGUGUUAAUUUCUGCUGUACAUCACAGUGAUUCAG